rnacentral:rRNA from 1 species
GACGAACGUUGGCGGCGUGCUUAAUACAUGCAAGUCAACUGAAGCAGUGGUAGCAAUAUCGCUGUGGAGGUGGCGCACGGGUGAGUAACACGUAGGUAAUCUGCCUUCAGGUCUGGCAUAACUCCGGGAAACCGGGGCUAAUAGCAGAUGAUGCAGCGGCUCGACAUCGAGACAGUUGUUAAAGCUAUGGCGCCUGAAGAUGAGCCUGCGUCUGAUUAGCUAGUUGGCGGGGUAACGGCCCACCAAGGCAACGAUCAGUAGCUGGUCUGAGAGGAUGAUCAGCCAGACGGGAACUGAGACACGGUCCAGAAUCCUACGGGAGGCAGCAGGAAGGAAUAUUGCUGAAUGGGAGAAAUCCUGAAGCAGCAACGCAGCGUGAGGGACGAAGGGCUUUUGCUCGUAAACCGCUGUAGUGAGAGAAAAAAAUCCCAAUCUUUGGGACAUGAUGGUAACUCAAAAGUAAGCCCCGGCUAACUACGUG